rnacentral:misc_RNA from 1 species
GUUUACUUUUUUGGUAUGUUUCGACAUGCAUCACUCCGAGUUUAAAAAAAACGCCAUUUUCACAGGGUGAGAAACAUGUGGACGGGCUCUGCGCGAGACCCAAUUCACUAAUGAUCCUUCCGCAGGUUCACCUACGGAAA